GAUGAACGCUGGCGGCGUGCCUAAUACAUGCAAGUCGAGCGAACGGACGAGAAGCUUGCUUCUCUGAUGUUAGCGGCGGACGGGUGAGUAACACGUGGAUAACCUACCUAUAAGACUGGGAUAACUUCGGGAAACCGGAGCUAAUACCGGAUAAUAUUUUGAACCGCAUGGUUCAAAAGUGAAAGACGGUCUUGCUGUCACUUAUAGAUGGAUCCGCGCUGCAUUAGCUAGUUGGUAAGGUAACGGCUUACCAAGGCAACGAUGCAUAGCCGACCUGAGAGGGUGAUUGGCCACACUGGAACUGAGACACGGCCCAGACUCCUACGGGAGGCAGCAGUAGGGAAUCUUCCGCAAUGGGCGAAAGCCUGACGGAGCAACGCCGCGUGAGUGAUGAAGGUCUUCGGAUCGUAAAGCUCUGUUAUUAGGGAAGAACAUAUGUGUAAGUAACUGUGCACAUCUUGACGGUACCUAAUCAGAAAGCCACGGCUAACUACGUG
rnacentral:rRNA from 1 species